rnacentral:rRNA from 1 species
UACGUAGGGUGCAGGCGUUUAAUCGGAAUUACUGGGCGUAAAGCGUGCGCAGGCGGUUUGCUAAGAGAGAUGUGAAAUCCCCGGGCUUAACCUGGGAACUGCGUUUCUAACUGGCAGGCUUGAGUGUGGCAGAGGGGGGGUGGAAUUCCGACGUGUAGCAGUGAAAUGCGUAGAGAUGUGGAGGAACACCGAUGGCGAAGGCAGCCCCCCUGGGCUGUACCUGACGCUCCGAACACGAAAAGCUAGGGGGAGCGAACGGGG